rnacentral:rRNA from 1 species
AUUGAACGCUGGCGGCAGGCUUAACACAUGCAAGUCGAGCGGAUGAAGGUAGCUUGCUACUGGAUUCAGCGGCGGACGGGUGAGUAAUGCUUAGGAAUCUGCCUAUUAGUGGGGGACAACGUUCCGAAAGGAGCGCUAAUACCGCAUACGUCCUACGGGAGAAAGCAGGGGACCUUCGGGCCUUGCGCUAAUAGAUGAGCCUAAGUCGGAUUAGCUAGUUGGUAGGGUAAAGGCCUACCAAGGCGACGAUCUGUAGCGGGUCUGAGAGGAUGAUCCGCCACACUGGGACUGAGACACGGCCCAGACUCCUACGGGAGGCAGCAGUGGGGAAUAUUGGACAAUGGGGGGAACCCUGAUCCAGCCAUGCCGCGUGUGUGAAGAAGGCCUUUUGGUUGUAAAGCACUUUAAGCGAGGAGGAGGCUACCUGGAUUAAUACUUUAGGAUAGUGGACGUUACUCGCAGAAUAAGCACCGGCUAACUCUGUGCCAGCAGCCGCGGUAAUACAGAGGGUGCGAGCGUUAAUCGGAUUUACUGGGCGUAAAGCGUGCGUAGGCGGCCAAUUAAGUCAAAUGUGAAAUCCCCGAGCUUAACUUGGGAAUUGCAUUCGAUACUGGUUGGCUAGAGUAUGGGAGAGGAUGGUAGAAUUCCAGGUGUAGCGGUGAAAUGCGUAGAGAUCUGGAGGAAUACCGAUGGCGAAGGCAGCCAUCUGGCCUAAUACUGACGCUGAGGUACGAAAGCAUGGGGAGCAAACAGGAUUAGAUACCCUGGUAGUCCAUGCCGUAAACGAUGUCGACUAGCCGUUGGGGCCCUUGAGGCUUUAGUGGCGCAGCUAACGCGAUAAGUAGAUCGC